ensembl:snRNA U6 U6 spliceosomal RNA
GCACUCCCUUCAGCAGCACAGAUACUAAAAUUGGAACCAUACAGAGAUUAGCAUGGCCCCUGCACAAGGAUGACAAACAAAUCCAUGAAGCAGUCCAUAAAUAA